UACGGAGGGUGCAAGCGUUAAUCGGAAUUACUGGGCGUAAAGCGUGCGUAGGCGGUUCGUUAAGUCUGUCGUGAAAGCCCCGGGCUCAACCUGGGAAUGGCAAUGGAUACUGGCGAGCUAGAGUGUGUCAGAGGAUGGUGGAAUUCCCGGUGUAGCGGUGAAAUGCGUAGAGAUCGGGAGGAACAUCAGUGGCGAAGGCGGCCAUCUGGGACAACACUGACGCUGAGGCACGAAAGCUAGGGGAGCAAACGGG
rnacentral:rRNA from 1 species